UACAGGGGGUGCAAACGUUGCUCGGAAUCAUUGGGCGUAAAGAGCGCGUAGGCGGUCCGGUAAGUCCGCUCUGAAAGUCCGGGGCUCAACCCCGGGAGGCGGGCGGAUACUGUCGGGCUAGAGUCCGGAAGAGGCGAGUGGAAUUCCUGGUGUAGCGGUGAAAUGCGCAGAUAUCAGGAGGAACACCAAUGGCGAAGGCAGCUCGCUGGGACGGUACUGACGCUGAGGCGCGAAAGCGUGGGGAGCAAACAGG
rnacentral:rRNA from 1 species